UACAGAGGGUGCAAGCGUUGUUCGGAAUUAUUGGGCGUAAAGGGCGCGUAGGCGGUGCUGUAAGUCUGUAGUGAAAUCUCUGGGCUCAACUCAGAGUCUGCUAUAGAAACUGCAGUGCUGGAGUGUGGGAGAGGUGAGUGGAAUUCCCGGUGUAGCGGUGAAAUGCGUAGAGAUCCGGCGGAACACCGGUGGUGAAGGCGGUCUCCUGGGCCGAGGGCCGACGCUGAGGCGCGAGAGCGUGGGGAGCGAACCGG
rnacentral:rRNA from 1 species